rnacentral:lncRNA from 1 species
AAUUGAUAUCAGUUUUGGAAAAAGGGAAACGGGGAUGUGAAAAAAAAGGGGGGGGGGGGUUAAAUUUUUCUCAUUUCAGAUUUCAUAAAUAAAAAGAAAAUUUCUUCAAACAUUUUUUUGAGAGGAUUAAUAUUCAACAGCAUAGUGAAUUGCUCAAAGGCAAAAAAAAUAUUUUAAGUUCAUUAGACCACAUUCAUUCUGUGUCAGAAACCUAUGCUGUGUCAACUAUUUAAUUUUAGAUUUAAAAAGUUUGAAGAAGAAAUCUUUAAUUGAUUUGUAAAAUCUUGACAUUUGUUUUGUGUAAAAAAAAACCAUGUAAUGUCAAAAAUUUGAUCACAAUCCAAAUUCAGAGCUGUAUCACGCUUGAAUGUUUUGUCCAUACUUGCCCCAACUGUUCAGGGUUCGACCUCUGCGGUCAUAUAAAGCUGCGCCCUGCGGAGCACCUGGUUUUGUUUAU